rnacentral:rRNA from 1 species
UACGUAGGGUGCGAGCGUUGUCCGGAAUUAUUGGGCGUAAAGGGCUCGUAGGCGGUUUGUCACGUCGGGAGUGAAAACUCGGGGCUUAACCCCGAGCCUGCUUCCGAUACGGGCUGACUAGAGGUAUGCAGGGGAGAACGGAAUUCCUGGUGUAGCGGUGAAAUGCGCAGAUAUCAGGAGGAACACCGGUGGCGAAGGCGGGUCUCUGGGCCGAUACUGACGCUGAGGAGCGAAAGCGUGGGGAGCGAACAGG